CUCUCUCUGCGGAAGCCAGCCACCGCUCUCCAAGGACUCUCGAGCAGCUCCAUCUACAGAUUCACAUGGAGAAGAAUUAAGGGUUCCUGCCAAUCACCAGCACCACUUUGCCAGCCUUACAGUUGGCAUCUGUGUGAAGAUGUGAAUGGAGGAGGCAGAGUAGGCAGUGAGUGCCGCAGCCACAGCUUGUGUUCUCUGCAGCCCUGGCACAGAAGAUAGGAACACUCAUGGGGGAUGCGGCCACUGUGAUGUCUUCCCACACAAGAAGUGCCAAGUGCUUUUCUCAUGCUUUUCUGGAUUGUCCCAUGGUGGACGAGUCAGCAGGAGUGAGAUGGAGCAGCACAGUAGAGGGGCCAGGAUAUCGUUGUACAUAUUCUCAGCUAAGUGAGCACCAAUAGAGGAGAGGGAGAGUCUCAUGGAAGUUCCUUCUAAGCCUUUGGCUCUUUUUACCUUCAACAAGGUGUGCCACCUCUUUGAUCCAGCAAGUGGGAAGAACAGUCCCGGCCUCUUUGCACACAAGACCGUGAUACCAAUGCACCAUCACAGGCCCCACAGGGGAGCUGUCCGCUUCCCCACACAGCUGCUAGGGGCUCUUUUGCAUGUUCCCAACCUUUCCUGCCUUUAUCUGAUAUUCGUUCCUUAGAUCCUGGGAUGAGGAGGUGGACCAGCAGAAGGUGGGCUUGUGAAGGCAGCCCGGGGUCCAAAUCCUCCUGGCUCUUCAGCUUAGCGGGUUAGUUAACAUUCAGAAGCCUUCAUCUCCCAUCUGCAAAAUGGGCAUGUCCAACUCAGAAGCUGCCUUGAAGAAAGGGUCUACCCAGCAUGGUGCGUGGAGCCUAAGCAGUCAGUACUUCAGGACUUCACCCGGCCCCUUUCCAAUAACUGCUGCUGUCGCCCUCACAGGAUGUCACCUUCAGCGUCUGAAAGCUGGGUUUGAUGCGUCUGGAAAGGCGUCCCUGACAGGCGUCGUUGCCAGGAGCCCCUAGUGCCACCAGCAGCCAGCAGGGGAGGGCGUCCUCUGCCCGCUCACUUCUGACCCUUCUCUCGUUGCACCCGGAACAUGGUGCAGCUGGGAGCAGCCUGGGCUGCGCGGAAGGCUCAGAUUUGGGGACGGCCCUUGCCAGUGACUGUGAGCUGGGGUGUCUUGGAAACUCCCAGUCUCAGCUUCUCCAUUUAUAAGAUGAGAAUGAUCAUACCAGACUCAGGCAAGGUUGUUUGUGCAUUAGUGAAAUCAGACGUAUUAAAUAAAGUACCACAUUGAUCGUGGAGUUGUUGAAUAACCAAGAA
ensembl:lncRNA LINC00658 long intergenic non-protein coding RNA 658